CCUACGGGAGGCUGCAGUGGGGAAUAUUGCGCAAUGGGCGAAAGCCUGACGCAGCGACGCCGCGUGAGGGAUGAAGGUCUUCGGAUCGUAAACCUCUGUCAGCAGGGAAGAACGGUCACUGUGCUAAUCAGCAGUGCAUUGACGGUACCUGCAACGGAAGCACCGGCUAACUCCGUGCCAGCAGCCGCGGUAAUACGGAGGGUGCGAGCGUUAAUCGGAAUUACUGGGCGUAAAGCGCUCGUAGGCGGUAUGUCAAGUCAAGGGUGAAAUCCCCGGGCUCAACGUGGGAACUGCCUUUGAAACUGGCAAACUGGAGUGUUGGAGAGGAUAGUGGAAUUCCAGGUGUAGGAGUGAAAUCCGUAGAUAUCUGGAGGAACAUCAGUGGCGAAGGCGACUAUCUGGCACAUAACUGACGCUGAGGAGCGAAAGCGUGGGUAGCAAACAGGAUUAGAUACCCCAGUAGUC
rnacentral:rRNA from 1 species